ACUCCUACGGGAGGCAGCAGUGGGGAAUAUUGCACAAUGGGCGCAAGCCUGAUGCAGCCACGCCGCGUGUAUGAAGAAGGCCUUCGGGUUGUAAAGUACUUUCAGCAGUGAGGAAGGCAGGUACGUUAAUAGCGUGCUUGUUUGACGUUAGCUGCAGAAGAAGCACCGGCUAACUCCGUGCCAGCAGCCGCGGUAAUACGGAGGGUGCGAGCGUUAAUCGGAAUUACUGGGCGUAAAGCGCAUGCAGGUGGUUUGUUAAGUCAGAUGUGAAAGCCCGGGGCUCAACCUCGGAAUUGCAUUUGAAACUGGCAGACUAGAGUACUGUAGAGGGGGGUAGAAUUUCAGGUGUAGCGGUGAAAUGCGUAGAGAUCUGAAGGAAUACCGGUGGCGAAGGCGGCCCCCUGGACAGAUACUGACACUCAGAUGCGAAAGCGUGGGGAGCAAACAGGAUUAGAUACCCUGGUAGGAUAGCG
rnacentral:rRNA from 1 species